rnacentral:rRNA from 1 species
AACGCUAGCUACAGGCUUAACACACGCAAGUCGAGGGGCAGCACUAGGUAGCAAUACUGAGGUGGCGACCGGCGCACGGGUGCGUAACGCGUAUCCAACCUUCCCGUUACUCUUGGAUAGCCUUCCGAAAGGGAGAUUAAUACAAGAUGGUAUUCAGAUUCCGCAUGUUAUUUGAAUUAAAGAUUUAUCGGUAACGGAUGGGGAUGCGUGACAUUAGAUAGUAGGCGGGGUAACGGCCCACCUAGUCUACGAUGUCUAGAGGUUCUGAGAGGAAGGUCCCCCACACUGGAACUGAGACACGGUCCAGACUCCUACGGGAGGCAGCAGUGAGGAAUAUUGGUCAAUGGUCGGAAGACUGAACCAGCCAAGUAGCGUGAAGGAUGAAGGUUCUAUGGAUUGUAAACUUCUUUUAUACGGGAAUAAAACCUCCCACGUGUGGGAGCUUGUAUGUACCGUAUGAAUAAGCAUCGGCUAACUCCGUGCCAGCAGCCGCGGUAAUACGGAGGAUGCGAGCGUUAUCCGGAUUUAUUGGGUUUAAAGGGAGCGUAGGCCGGAGAUUAAGCGUGUUGUGAAAUGUAGAUGCUCAACAUCUGAACUGCAGCGCGAACUGGUUUCCUUGAGUACGCAUAAAGUGGGCGGAAUUCGUGGUGUAGCGGUGAAAUGCUUAGAUAUCACGAAGAACUCCGAUUG